UACAGAGGGUGCGAGCGUUGUUCGGAAUUAUUGGGCGUAAAGGGCGCGUAGGCGGUGCGGUAAGUCACCUGUGAAAUCUCCUGGCUCAACUGGGAGCUUGCAGGCGAAACUGCCGUGCUGGAGUGUGGGAGAGGUGCGUGGAAUUCCUGGUGUAGCGGUGAAAUGCGUAGAUAUCUGGAGGAACAUCAGUGGCGAAGGCGGCUUCCUGGUCCAACACUGACACUGAGGUGCGAAAGCGUGGGGAGCAAACAGG
rnacentral:rRNA from 1 species